AACAUAGUGGGCAAAUGGUUUAAGCCGCCACCCUUUCAAGGUGGAGAUUGCGAGUUCGAGUCUCGUCUAUGUUA
rnacentral:tRNA from 1 species